UUGAUCCUGGCUCAGAAUCAACGCUGGCGGCGUGCCUAACACAUGCAAGUCGAGCGAGAAAGGGGUAGCAAUACCCUGAGUAAAGCGGCGCACGGGUGAUUAACACGUGGGUAAUCUGCCCUAGAGUGGGGAAUAACACCGGGAAACCGUUGCUAAUACCGCAUACGAUCACGAUGUCUUCGGAUGUUGUGCUGAAAGGUAGCAAUUUCGCUCUUGGAGGAGCCCGCGGCUGAUUAGCUAGUUGGUAAGUUAAUGGCUUACCAAGGCUACGAUCAGUAUCCGGUCUGAGAGGACGGUCGUACACACUGGAACUGAGACACGGUCCAGACUCCUACGGGAGGCAGCAGUGUGGAAUUUUUGGCAAUGGGGGAAACCCUGACCAAGCAACGCCGUGUGGGUUAUGAAGUAUCUCGGUACGUAAAACCCUUUCGACGGGGACGAAAGCCGCAUGGCCUGACGGUACCCGUAGAAGAAGCCCCGGCUAACUCCGUGCCAGCAGUCGCGGUAAUAAGGU
rnacentral:rRNA from 1 species